rnacentral:rRNA from 1 species
UACGGAGGGUGCGAGCGUUGUCCGGAAUCACUGGGCGUAAAGGGCGCGUAGGCGGCGCGGGAAGUCCAUGGUGAAAGCCCGAGGCUCAACUUCGGGUCGACCAAGGAUACUCCCGGGCUCGAGCACUGUAGAGGCAGGUGGAAUUCCGGGUGUAGCGGUGGAAUGCGUAGAGAUCCGGAAGAACACCGGUGGCGAAGGCGGCCUGCUGGGCAGUAGCUGACGCUGAGGCGCGACAGCGUGGGGAGCAAACAGG